GUUGGCCCCGGGGAGCCAGGCCCUGGGACUUGGUACCGCGAGCCUCGGGCCGGCCAGCUGACCUUGUCCUUGGCGCCUCUUUCAGAGGCUUCCUCAGGGUGAUUGCCCUAAUCGCAGCCCUGGAGUCCCAGUGGAGGCCUUCGGAUGGCAUGUGCUGUGAACGCUUUGCUGUGCGAGGGCAGGUGCUGUGAACGCUUUGCUGUGUCCUCCGCCUCUUUGCUGGAAGUGAAGGAAACUGGGACCCUUACAGAUGCAAAAUGGUGUAGAGCUCUGGACCAGGCAUCACUGAAUGCCACUCCCUGUGGGGACAUCUCAUUAAACUACUGGGACAGACAGUCAUCCACAGUGCUCUCCAUGAAGCACACAUGCAUCUGCUAAGCAUAAACCACUCUGGGCCACCCCAGUGGAGACUGAAC